AUAUUAUUACGCGGAGGAAAAGAAACUAACAAGGAUUCCCCUAGUAACGGCGAGUGAAGCGGGAAGAGCUCAAGUUUAAAAUCGGUGUGCCUUCGUGCAUCGAAUUGUAAUCUCGAGACAGGCUGUCUGCGGUGACGUCGGUACAAGUACCUUGGAAGAGGUCGUCAGAGAGGGUGACAAUCCCGUCGCUGACCGAUAGUUCGCCGCUUUCGACGUUUGUUCACAGAGUCGGAUUGCUUGGGAGUGCAGUCCUAAUUGGGUGGUAAAUUUCAUCUAAAGCUAAAUACAGACGAGAGACCGAUAGCGCACAAGUA
rnacentral:rRNA from 1 species